rnacentral:misc_RNA from 1 species
GCAAGACAAAAAAUAGAGUGCAUCCAGAUAUCCCAAUUUCAAGAGAAUACACAAUCAAAUAAUUUGAUAGAUAUGUGGAUGCAAAGAAUUCAAUCCAAUUACUUGCUAGACCUGGAUUGCAUAUAUCCUAGUCCUAAUUUACCUAUCAAUUAGAUUCAUAUCCAGAAUAUUGACUUAUCACAAAAUUUACCAACAAUACAAUAUUAUAAUACCUGAAACAUAUUAAGAAACAUAACUCACCAAUAACAAUAUCUGAAACUGUUAGAAUCCCUCAAUUA